rnacentral:snRNA from 1 species
AUCGCUUCUCGGCCUUUUGGCUAAGAUCAAGUGUAAAAAUAAGUAAACAUUAAAAAAAUUUUUUUUUCAUUAAAA